GGCGACCCUGCCCUGGCUCCCGGCUUCUCCUCCGGACUGCUGGGGCGGGGCCGGCUGUGUGUGGGAGGAGACGUACUGCCCCGCCCCCAGCCUGUCUUCCGGACCGGAGGGAAGACUAAGGGCGUGGCUGAGCGCGGAGAGCGGGAACCCAGUUACAGGCGGGGCCUGUCCCCGGGAGGAACCCGCAGUGAGGAGCACUUCGGGACGCUGUGGUGAGAUUCACGCGCGGGACCAAUAGCCUGUUGAUGACUUGUGUUUAUGACCACUCCGUCGUGGGCUGGGCUCCACUGCUUGUUCCUGCCGCUGAGAACCAACCACAGGGGAACGUCCUCCUCCGCCGGGACCUAACUUCGCCGCCACCACAAUCAAAUCAGCAAUCUGCCCCUCAAUAAAAUCUUCCUCAUGCUCUCUAUUUGUAUUCAUACCUACAUUGAAAGCUCUCAGACUACCUCGAGCUGUCACAGUGCUUCCCUAACACUUGGGAGAGGUGGCCAAGAGGAGCUCCUGUCUCAACUCUGGCACGUUGCCUGCCUUGCUCUGCUCAUUCAUUCCAUGACUGAAUAGCAGUAACUGUUCUUCUGUACCAACAAUCUGGGAACACAGGGACCCACCCCGACACCAUUCCUGUCUGAGCUACAGAGUGCACUAUCAUUAAUUUUCCAAUAUUGCAGAACCUUUCCAAGUUUGUUUGAUUUUAAUGGAAUGUUUAACUACUUUUUCUCCAAAAGAAUGGAAUAUUUGCCAUGAAUAUCAUGCUCUCUGUCAUAUUUAUCCUCUUUUUGAACUCAGCUUUCAACCUGCUGUUGUAAUUUUUCAUUGUUCUUUGUAUAGCUGUCGUUUUUUUAUCUUUCUCCUAUAACCUGGGGAUUUAUUACUCUCUAUUUUCUGGUUCCCUUGCAUUGUAAUUUUUUGAUUAAAAACAUUUUGAGAAACAUAUGAGUUAUUCUACUCUUACAAUUGAUUGAGAGUUUGGCUCAGUAUUGAUCCACUGUUCCCUAACUCCCAGGGCUGCUCCGUAGAAGCUGAUACCAUGCCCAUUACUAUUUUAUGUGAGACCGGUUUUCACCUAUUGAAAGUGUUACAAUUUUUAUUUUUUGCCUACAGGGUUUUAAAAUUCUAUGGUGAUAUUCUUUAGUGUGGAGUUUUCUUCUUUAUUCCCUCCUUUCCUCUUCCUUUAACUGUUUUCCUUCUCUUAGACAGCAUGACACAAUUAGGGUAGAUUUCCCAGCAAUACUGAGAAGGCUCCAUAAGAUAUUUCAUUAGUGAUUUCAUUUUCUCUUUUAAAAAUCAUUUAGUUAAAACUCUU